rnacentral:sRNA from 2 species
CCUCGUCGAUCUGCUGCGGGCUGAUGAAGUGGAUGUGGGUGUCGAUGCCGCCGGCCGUGACGAUCAUGCCCUCGCCGGCGAUCACCUCGGUGCCCGCGCCGAUCGCGAUGGUCACGCCGGGCUGGAUGUCGGGGUUGCCGGCCUUGCCGAUCGACUGGAUGCGGCCGUCCUUGAUGGCGAUGUCGGCCUUGACGAUGCCCCAGUGAUCGAGAAUCACCGCAUUGGUCACCACCGUGUCGGCCACCUCGGCGGCCACGCGCUGCGACUGGCCCAUGCCGUCGCGGA